UACGAAGGGUGCAAGCGUUAAUCGGAAUUACUGGGCGUAAAGCGUGCGUAGGCGGUUUGUUAAGUCUGUUGUGAAAUCCCCGGGCUCAACCUGGGAAUGGCAAUGGAUACUGGCAGGCUAGAGUGUGUCAGAGGAUGGUGGAAUUCCCGGUGUAGCGGUGAAAUGCGUAGAGAUCGGGAGGAACAUCAGUGGCGAAGGCGGCCAUCUGGGACAACACUGACGCUGAGGCACGAAAGCGUGGGGAGCAAAUGGG
rnacentral:rRNA from 1 species